rnacentral:rRNA from 1 species
GAUGAACGCUAGCUACAGGCUUAACACAUGCAAGUCGAGGGGCAGCACUAGGUAGCAAUACUGAGGUGGCGACCGGCGCACGAGUGCGUAACGCGUAUCCAACCUUCCCGUUACUCUUGGAUAGCCUUCCGAAAGGGAGAUUAAUACAAGAUGGUAUUCAAAUUCCGCAUGUUAUUUGAAUUAAAGAUUUAUCGGUAACGGAUGGGGAUGCGUGACAUUAGGUAGAUGGCGGGGUAACGGCCCACCAUGCCUACGAUGUCUAGGGGUUCUGAGAGGAAGAUCCCCCACGCUGGAACUGAGACACGGUCCAGACUCCUACGGGAGGCAGCAGUGAGGAAUAUUGGUCAAUGGUCGGAAGACUGAACCAGCCAAGUAGCGUGAAGGAUGAAGGUUCUAUGGAUUGUAAACUUCUUUUAUACGGGAAUAAAACCUCCCACGUGUGGGAGCUUGUAUGUACCGUAUGAAUAAGCAUAGGCUAACUCCGUGCCAGCCGCCGCCGUAACAC